rnacentral:pre_miRNA from 1 species
ACAAUAUUGGGACCGUCAGUCCACCGAGCAAUAUCACGCGCUCGGUGGAAGAUCUUCUCUCCGUCGU